AGAUUGAACGCUGGCGGCAGGCCUAACACAUGCAAGUCGAGCGGCAGCACGGGUACUUGUACCUGGUGGCGAGCGGCGGACGGGUGAGUAAUGCCUAGGAAUCUGCCUGAUAGUGGGGGAUAACGUUCGGAAACGGACGCUAAUACCGCAUACGUCCUACGGGAGAAAGUGGGGGAUCUUCGGACCUCACGCUAUCAGAUGAGCCUAGGUCGGAUUAGCUAGUUGGUAGGUAAAGCCUACAAGGCUACGAUCCGUAACUGGUCUGAGAGGAUGAUCAGUCACACUGGAACUGAGACACGGUCCAGACUCCGUACGGGAGCAGCAGGUGGG
rnacentral:rRNA from 1 species